GACGAACGCUGGCGGCGUGCCUAACACAUGCAAGUCGAACGGAAAGACCCGGCUCUUGUGGGGUGCUCGUUUGCCGAGCGCGUGAGUAUCACGCGAGGAACCCCCCCCUGUCUUUCUGAUAACUUCAGGAAACUCCGGCUAAUAUAGGAUAGGAUCUCCUGAUGCAUGGGGGGCGUUGGAAAGUUUCGGCGGUUGGGGAUCGACUCGCUGCUUAUCAGCUUGUUGGGGUGGUAGUGGCGUACCAAGCCUUUGACGGGUAGCCGGCCUGGGAGGGUGGACAGCGACAAUAGGACUGAGAGACGGAGCAGACGCCUACGGGAGGCAGCAGUGGAGAGUAUUGCGGAGCGGGGGGAAGCGUGAUGCAGCGACGCCGCGUGCGGGAUGACGGGUUUCGAGUUGUAAACAACUUUGGAAUGUGACGAAGCGGGAGUGACGGUACUUGGUCAAGAAGCAACGGCUAACUACGUG
rnacentral:rRNA from 1 species